AUUGAACGCUGGCGGCAGGCCUAACACAUGCAAGUCGAGCGGAUGAAGGGAGCUUGCUCCUGGAUUCAGCGGCGGACGGGUGAGUAAUGCCUAGGAAUCUGCCUGGUAGUGGGGGAUAACGUCCGGAAACGGGCGCUAAUACCGCAUACGUCCUGAGGGAGAAAGUGGGGGUUCUUCGGACCUCACGCUAUCAGAUGAGCCUAGGUCGGAUUAGCUAGUUGGUGGGGUAAAGGCCUACCAAGGCGACGAUCCGUAACUGGUCUGAGAGGAUGAUCAGCCACACUGGAACUGAGACACGGUCCAGACUCCUACGGGAGGCAGCAGUGGGGAAUAUUGGACAAUGGGCGAAAGCCUGAUCCAGCCAUGCCGCGUGUGUGAAGAAGGUCUUCGGAUUGUAAAGCACUUUAAGUUGGGAGGAAGGGCAGUAAGUUAAUACCUUGCUGUUUUGACGUUACCAACAGAAUAAGCACCGGCUAACUUCGUG
rnacentral:rRNA from 1 species